AGCAGCCGCGGUAAUUCCAGCUCCAAUAGCGUAUAUUAAAGUUGUUGCAGUUAAAAAGCUCGUAGUUGAAUUUUGGAUUCUUCCAAUUGGUCCAUCUUUUAGAUGAGUACUGAUUGUGUGGGGUCUAUCCGCCUGGUGAUACGUAAUGUCCUUUAUUGGAUGUUGCGGGUAGUCAGGACCUUUACCUUGAAAAAAUUAGAGUGUUUAAAGCAGGCUUAUGCCGGAAUACAUUAGCAUGGAAUAAUAGAAUAGGACGAAGUUGUUUUAUUUUGUUGGUUUCUAGGACAACCGUAAUGAUUAAUAGGGAUAGUUGGGGGCAUUAGUAUUCAAUUGUCAGAGGUGAAAAUUCUUGGAUUUAUUGAAGACUAAACUACUGUGAAAGCAUUUGCCAAGGAUGUUUUCAUUAAUCAAGAACGAAAGUUAGGGGAUCGAAGACGAUCAGAUACCGUCGUAGUCUUAACCAUAAACUAUGCCGACUAGGGAUCGGGCGAUGUUGUUUCCAUGACUCGCUCGGCACCUUAU
rnacentral:rRNA from 1 species